rnacentral:rRNA from 1 species
UACGUAGGGUGCGAGCGUUGUUCGGAAUCACUGGGCGUAAAGGGCGCGUAGGCGGGAUGGCAAGUCGGUCGUGAAAUCCUUCGGCUCAACCGAAGAACGUCGGCCGAUACUGCCGUUCUUGAGGGAUACAGAGGAGAUUGGAAUUCCCGGUGUAGCGGUGAAAUGUGUAGAGAUCGGGAGGAACAUCAGUUGCGAAGGCGGCUCUCUGGACCAGCACUGACACUGAGGCACGAAAGCGUGGGGAGCAAACAGG